rnacentral:rRNA from 1 species
CGGCGCCACAAGUGGUGAUCAUGUUUAUUGGGCCUAAAGCGUCCGUAGCAGGUCUUGUAAAUCUUAUGUGAAAUUGUUGCGCUCAACGCAAGAGCGUGCACGAGAAACUGCAAGACUUGGGACCGGGAGGAGUCAGAGGUAUUUCUUGGGGAGCGGUAAAAUGCUAUAAUCCAAGAAGGACCACCUAUGGCGAAGGCAUCUGACUAGAACGGAUCCGACUGUGAGGGACGAAAGCCAGGGGAGCGAACCGGAUUAGAGACCCGAGUAGUCC